GUAAGUACUUUGCACAAACAGUCUUACCUGGAGACUAUGUAAAAUGUAAACCGUCAACUUCUCUAGUUAGGUAAGAAUAGAGGAGUGAAGGCCUGUAGCUCUUUGCAUUUACUCCUGACUUUCCUAGAAUCUCUAUAGUUAUAUCAAAAUAAUACCUUGCACAUUUCAUUAAACUUAUGAAAAUUACUAGUCACAAGUAUUGAAGUUCAUACCACUUUUAAUUAAGAUUGCUUGAUUUUCUGAGUCUUUUUGUUGCUGGAGUUGCACUUAUUGCCAAUUUUUACUGCUCUGAAAGUUGGAUAGACGGUUUGUUUUGGUCAGCCUCCACGGGAAGUUUAACAAUCAGGCACAAUCAAACGCAAACCCUUCUUCUACUUAAGAAAGGUUGGCCGGGCAACGGGAUUGAGCCAUUCUCACGAGGCCACAGAAAAUAAGCACGUGGUGAUAGACACAUUCAUACAUGAGAAAGACGAGCCUUUCCCAUCAGUCUCACGCUCAUUUGAUGAAGAAACACAAAGCAUUCUGCAUGCAUUGUUUCCUCAAUGCUCAAAGACACAAAGCCUCAUCAAACCCUCCCCAUUAAGUCACCAGUGGCUGCAUGGCAAGAAUUUGGAUGGAUAUUACUUUCUGGUUGCUAGGCCCACCCCCACACAGUUUCAUUUGUUUCUCCGAGGAGUUUUGUUCCUGGUGUAUGUCUUUUGUUGGGAUUCUUGAUGAGUAUCUGUAAUUUUGGUCACACUUACAAGACCCUGGGUUAUUGCUAUAGUGUUGUAACAAUAGAAACUAAUAGUCAUCUCAAUCCUACUCCCAGAAUGCUAAGGGCAGUGUGUCUGUUGGAUGCAUGGGAGUCUUUCUUCAAUCCAUACCCUUGGAAGUGAAUUGGCUACAGCUCAUCAAAAGAUGCCUUGUUAAGAAAAUAACAACUUCUUCCCAUGCCCACAGCAGUGUUUCCAUAAAACUCCGAUCUCACAGUUCUGUGCUGCAGCAGGAAAUCUUGUACUUGCUUCAAAAAGGACAGGAAAAAUACCAAAACCAAAACCAAAACCAAAACCAACAAUAAAAACAAGCAAGAAUAAUGUCUGAAACUCACAGCCCUGCCAUCUCCAGAUUUGUUUGCAUACCCAUUCAACUUACGUGUCCAGGUUUUUCUUAGGAGAGAAGAGUUCUUCCUCCUCUACAAGCUGAAUUUUAUUUCUGCUUGAUUUUUUUGGAUCUGUUUUUAUGCUUGCCAAUAUACUUAAAGUGUUUACAGAUUAAAAAUAAUGUUUAUUUAUAUAUAUAUAUGUUAAUAUUGGUACGUAGGUGCAUGCAGGAGGCAAGCAACAGAAGAGAUUGUCAGACUUUCUGGGACUGGAGUGAUAGUGAUUUGAUGUCUUUUAUGGGUUCUGAGAACUGACUGAAGAUGCUCUGCAAGAGAAGUACAUACAAGACUAGCGCAUUUUUAACCUUCCACGAGGCGUCUUUCUCUACUAAAUGUUUCACUGUCCCACUGGGCAAGGGCUGAAAAAGAAGCAUGCAAGAAACUAAGGAGAGGGAGUUGAGGAGUAUUUUGACAUCAUCCUUUCUGAAUCAUUUUUCAGUCCUGGAGUCUGAGCAGGGUCUUGCAAACCCAGCAAACAUUUUGAAGAAUUAAUUUUUGUUCUAAAUCUCCAUCAAUUUCUACUCCUCAGGAACGCCCCUUUUCUUCAUCUGUCUAAUGGAACUUUACCCUUAAUUCAAAGACGUCCUGUCACGGCGCUCCAAUCUGUCCUUUUCUUUAGUUUUAUCUGAUUGAUUUUUUUUUCUUGUUUCAUCCCAAAAGGACGACUUGACUGGGUAGGUAGGUGACAGAGAUGCUGCUUUGGGCUCUAUAGGAGAAGAGAAUGAAACCGUGAGCACGGGAUGCAUGAACAUGCAAAGAAUGUUAAAGCAUUGAGAUGGUGCCUAAGCAGAAAGGUUGUCCACACUGCAACCACAAAAACAGAAGGGAGAGAAAAGAAAAAGUGGGAUUUGGGAGGACAGCAGUACAGUGUCUAGCAAACAGACACAUUGUACGUCCUUUAAGAGGUGUUUUUUUUUUUUUUUUA
ensembl:lncRNA